UGGUUUACUGGGACCCUUAUGACCCCGAUGCAAUUAGCGAGAUAGAAGAGCUUUUGAAGAGGAACGUUUGUCUUCAAAAGAAGGCGGCGGAGUUCGUGAUUUCGGGGAGUGGUGACGUCAGUGACGUGGAAGGAGCGGAUGCUUUGAAGAAGCUGCACUCAAGCGCUGGCCUUGUAGAGAAGGUGCGGGAGCUUACCGGCAAGACCACAGAGGCAGCGUUAGAAGAAAUACAGUCAGCUUUCGCUCGCUUAUCUGCGUGAAUGCGGCCCUUGUAAAGCAGAGGGCACAUUUGAAUGCAUCAGUGAUAUCGUCGCCUGUCCGCUACUUCUGGCUGUUGCGCUGUUACGAAACGGGGGACAGUUGUGAUGAACUGUACGUGUGUAGUUCCGCUGGUCGAGUGGGCCUCACGUGAAAAGUAUAGGUGGCCCCAUGUAUAUUUUUCUGUUUAUGCUACAGUGUGAAUGUUCAAUUUCUUUGGGCAUCAUCGACCUAAUCGAUAGAACUUUGUUUUACGAAGUAAUUUAUUAUGUGCGAAUGAAUGAGUAAACUUUGUGAAGAAAGGCAAAUGCUUGCAGUGCGCUGUUUCAAAAAAGUGGAGUUCACUUAAGCAGGCAUCCUUCAUGGGCUGUAGUCGCGUGCACUCUUGUGUUUUUUCUAUAUCACGUCUUCUGUCCUCUAAGUGUAGGAAGGGGAAAAAUAAACAAGCGACAGAACCAUGAA
rnacentral:lncRNA from 1 species